GGGGUUGUGGCUCAGUUGCAGAGCACUUGCCUUGCAUGCAUGAGGCCCUGGGUUCGAUCCUCAGCACCA
rnacentral:tRNA from 1 species